AUAUCUCAUGUAUUAGUCCAAAUAAUUAUGACGUCUGGCAAGGCUAUUUUAUUAUUUUUCUGGGACGCCUUCCUACGACGUUCGUAGGAAGGCGUCCCAGAAAAAAAAUUAACAUAGCCUUGCGGUCAUAGGAAAGUGUUCCAGAAUAAAAUUAAAAAAGCCUUGCCAGACGUAAUAAUUAUUUGGACUACUCAUAUAUAUAUAUAUAUCAUUAAAAAUACAC
rnacentral:lncRNA from 1 species